rnacentral:tRNA from 1 species
UGCCCGGUCGUCUAAUGGUAGGACAUCAGGUUUUGGUCCUGAGUAUCAAGGUUCGAAUCCUUGCUGGGCAA